CGGCACUCACACCCGCCACCAGGAAAGCGGCCAAGAAGAUGGCACUCAGAGCAACGACUGGCGAAGAAAAUUGAUGUGACAAUAACUGUGAAAGUUUCUCGGUAGAAGGAACCAACUGAGACCUCCACGUUUCGGGGAUGGAACUUUUAUACUUUCGAUGGGGGAAGAGUGCCGAAAAAAAAAUGUGAAAACAAGAAUAAUAAAAGUAUUGACAUUUUGA